AUUGAACGCUGGCGGCAGGCCUAACACAUGCAAGUCGAGCGAGCGGCGGACGGGUGAGUAAUGUAUGGGGAUCUGCCUGAUGGCGGGGGAUAACUACUGGAAACGGUCGCUAAUACCGCAUACCAUCAGAUGAACCCAUAUGGGAUUAGCUUGUAGGUGAGGUAACGGCUCACCUAGGCGACGAUCCCUAGCUGGUCUGAGAGGAUGAUCAGCCACACUGGAACUGAGACACGGCCCAGACUCCUACGGGAGGCAGCAGUGGGGAAUAUUGCGCAAUGGGGGCAAGCCUGAUGCAGCCAUGCCGCGUGAAUGAAGAAGGCCUUCGGGUUGUAAAGUACUUUCAGUAGGGAGGCGUUACAGACAGAAGAAGCACCGGCUAACUCCGUGCCAGCAGCCGCGGUAAUUC
rnacentral:rRNA from 1 species